GCAAGUCGAACGCACCUUCGGGUGAGCGGCGGACGGGUUAGUAACGCGUGGGAACAUACCCUUUUCUAUGGAAUAGCCUUUGGAAACGAAGAGUAAUACCAUAUACGCCCUUCGGGGGAAAGAUUUAUCGGAGAAGGAUUGGCCCGCGUUAGAUUAGAUAGUUGGUGGGGUAACGGCCUACCAAGUCGACGAUCUAUAGCUGGUUUGAGAGGAUGAUC
rnacentral:rRNA from 1 species